CGAAAUGAUGAAGCGGCACUGGGCUCCGAAAUAAAAACACAUGAGUCGAUAUGCCUCUUUGUGGCAGGCCUAGAAAACCUCGCCCACUGAUC
rnacentral:snoRNA from 1 species